rnacentral:rRNA from 1 species
GACGAACGCUGGCGGCGUGCUUAACACAUGCAAGUCGAACGCUGAAGCUCAGCUUUUGUUGGGUGGAUGAGUGGCGAACGGGUGAGUAACACGUGAGUAACCUGCCUCCUUCUUUGGGAUAACGCCCGGAAACGGGUGCUAAUACUGGAUAUUCACUGGUCUUCGCAUGGGGGUUGGUGGAAAGGGUUUUUCUGGUGGGGGAUGGGCUCGCGGCCUAUCAGCUUGUUGGUGGGGUGAUGGCCUACCAAGGCUUUGACGGGUAGCUGGCCUGAGAGGGUGACCGGUCACAUUGGGAGUGAGAUACGGCCCGGACUCCUACGGGAGGCAGCAGUGGGGAAUAUUGCACAAUGGGCGCAAGCCUGAUGCAGCGACGCCGCGUGAGGGAUGGAGGCCUUCGGGUUGUGAACCUCUUUCGCUCAUGGUCAAGCCGCAACAAUGGUUGUGGUGAGGGUAGUGGGUAAAGAAGCGCCGGCUAACUACGUG